AUUGAACGCUGGCGGCAUGCCUUACACAUGCAAGUCGAACGGCAGCACGGGAGCAAUCCUGGUGGCGAGUGGCGAACGGGUGAGUAAUAUAUCGGAACGUGCCCAGUCGUGGGGAUAACGUAGCGAAAGCUACGCUAAUACCGCAUACGAUCUAUGGAUGAAAGCGGGGGAUCGCAAGACCUCGCGCGAUUGGAGCGGCCGAUAUCAGAUUAGGUAGUUGGUGNGGUAAAGGCGUCACCAAGCCGACGAUCUGUAGCUGGUCUGAGAGGACGACCAGCCACACUGGGACUGAGACACGGCCCAGACUCCUACGGGAGGCAGCAGUGGGGAAUUUUGGACAAUGGGCGCAAGCCUGAUCCAGCAAUGCCGCGUGCAGGACG
rnacentral:rRNA from 1 species